rnacentral:rRNA from 1 species
GAUGAACGCUGGCGGCGUGCCUAAUACAUGCAAGUCGAGCGAACAGACGAGGAGCUUGCUCCUCUGACGUUAGCGGCGGACGGGUGAGUAACACGUGGAUAACCUACCUAUAAGACUGGGAUAACUUCGGGAAACCGGAGCUAAUACCGGAUAAUAUAUUGAACCGCAUGGUUCAAUAGUGAAAGACGGUUUUGCUGUCACUUAUAGAUGGAUCCGCGCCGCAUUAGCUAGUUGGUAAGGUAACGGCUUACCAAGGCAACGAUGCGUAGCCGACCUGAGAGGGUGAUCGGCCACACUGGAACUGAGACACGGUCCAGACUCCUACGGGAGGCAGCAGUAGGGAAUCUUCCGCAAAGGGCGAAAGCCUGACGGAGCAACGCCGCGUGAGUGAUGAAGGUCUUCGGAUCGUAAAACUCUGUUAUUAGGGAAGAACAAAUGAGUAAGUAACUAUGCACGUCUUGACGGUACCUAAUCAGAAAGCCACGGCUAACUACGUG